GAUGAAGAACGCAGCGAAAUGCGAUAAGUAAUGUGAAUUGCAGAAUUUAGUGAAUCAUCGAGUCUUUGAACGCACAUUGCGCCCUCUGGUAUUCCGGAGGGCAUGCCUGUCCGAGCGUCAUUGCUGCCCUCAAGCACGGCUUGUGUGUUGGGCCCCGCCCCCCGAUCCCGGGGGGCGGGCCCGAAAGGCAGCGGCGGCACCGCGUCCGGUCCUCGAGCGUAUGGGGCUUUGUCACCCGCUCUGUAGGCCCGGCCGGCGCCUGCCGAUCAACCAAACUUUUUUCCAGGUUGACCUCGGAUCAGGUAGGGAUACCCGCUGAACUUAAGCAUAUCAAUAAGCGGAGGA
rnacentral:misc_RNA from 1 species